CACGUAGGCUGUUUUGUAAGUGUGGAGUGAAAUUCCUGGGCUCAAUCGAGGAAGUGCUUUGCAAACUGCAUUACUAGAAUCCGAGAGGGGGUGGUAGAAUUCCUAGUGUAGGGGUGAAAUCCGUAGAUAUUAGGAGGAAUACCGUUGGCGAAGGCGGCCACCUGGAUCGGUAUUGACGCUGAGGUGCGAAAGCGUGGGGAGCAAACA
rnacentral:rRNA from 1 species